rnacentral:rRNA from 1 species
UGGCUCAGAACGAACGCUGGCGGCGCGUCUUAAGCAUGCAAGUCGAACGGCAAGGCGGUGCUUGCACCUGCCCCAGAGUGGCGGACUGGUGAGUAACACGUGGGUGACAUACCCCCCGGACGGGGAUAGCCGGUAGAAAUACCGGGUAAUACCGGAUACGGUCGCGCAGGUUAGAGCUGCGCGAGGAAAGGAGCUACGGCUCCGCCGGGGGAAUGGCCCGCGGCCUAUUAGUUAGUUGGUGGGGUAAAGGCCUACCAAGGCGAUGACGGGUAUCCGGCCUGAGAGGGUGAACGGACACAUUGGGACUGAGAUACGGCCCAGACUCCUACGGGAGGCAGCAGCUAAGAAUAUUCCGCAAUGGACGGAAGUCUGACGGAGCGACGCCGCGUGAACGAAGAAGGCCCGGAAGGUUGUAAAGUUCUUUUGGACGUGAGGAAUAAGCGCCGCAGGGAAUGGCGGCGCGGUGACUGUAGCGUCUGAAUAAGCAACGGCUAAUUACGUGCCAGCAGCAGC